AGCUUCUCAUGAGCUCCUCUCUGUCCAGACAGUGACGGUGUAUGGAUUCGCACGAGAAGCAGAGUCACGUUCACAGUCAAACCGGCACCUGCAUCUGUGGGAGUUGCCUAUGUCUGCUGUGAUACAUAA